AUUGAACGCUGGCGGAAUGCUUUACGCAUGCAGGUCGAACGGCAGCACGGGGGCAGCCCUGGUGGCGAGUGGCGAACGGGUGAGUAAUACAUCGGAACGUGCCCGGUCGUGGGGGAUAACGUAGCGAAAGUUACGCUAAUACCGCAUACGAUCUGAGGAUGAAAGCGGGGGACCUUCGGGCCUCGCGCGAUCGGAGCGGCCGAUGUCAGAUUAGGUAAUUGGUGGGGUAAAGGCCUACCAAGCCGACGAUCUGUAGCUGGUCUGAGAGGACGACCAGCCACACUGGGACUGAGACACGGCCCAGACUCCUACGGGAGGCAGCAGUGGGGAAUUUUGGACAAUGGGCGCAAGCCUGAUCCAGCCAUUCCGCGUGCAGGACGAAGGCCUUCGGGUUGUAAACUGCUUUUGUACGGAACGAAAAGGCUCUGGCUAAUACCUGGGGCUCAUGACGGUACCGUAAGAAUAAGCACCGGCUAACUACGUG
rnacentral:rRNA from 1 species